UUCGGUCCGCUGACGAGUGGCGAACGGGUGCGUAACACGUGGAUGACCUGUCUCGAGGCGGGGGAUAACGACUGGAAACAGUUGCUAAUACCGCAUGAGCUCUACGGAGGAAAGGCUUCGGCCACCUUGAGAGGGGUCCGCGUCGGAUUAGCUAGUUGGUGAGGGUAAAGGCCCACCAAGGCGACGAUCCGUAGCUGGUCCGAGAGGAUGACCAGCCACACUGGGACUGAGACACGGCCCAGACUCCUACGGGAGGCAGCAGUGGGGAAUAUUGCGCAAUGGGGGAAACCCUGACGCAGCAAUACCGCGUGAGUGAAGAAGGCCUUCGGGUUGUAAAGCUCUUUUAGUGGGGAAGAUAGUGACGGUACCCACAGAAAAAACUCCGGCUAACUCCGUGCCAGCAGCCGCGGUAAUACGGAGGGAGUGAGCGUUGUUCGGAUUUACUGGGCGUAAAGAGCGCGUAGGUUGUUUAGUAAG
rnacentral:rRNA from 1 species